CAGGAAACCUUUAAGAUUCGUGCACGAGCAGUUCUCUUGGAGAUUCUUCUUGCAGAUGGGAAAAAGCUUUUGAUUGACACCCACACAACUCACUCAGCAGAGCAGAUGCUGGAGAUUGUUGCCCAAAAGCUUGAAUUGGCCCGGCAGUUUUUGGAACACUUUGACCUCUACCUCGUCUGUGAGCUUCCUAAUCAAGGAUACUCUGUACUGAAAAGGCUAAUG